GCCCGGUAGCUAAAUGCGGAAGAGAUAAGUGCUGAAAGCAUCUAAGCGCGAAACUUGCCCCGAGAUGAGUUCUCCCUGAGACUUUAAGUCUCCUGAAGGAACGUUAAAGACGACGACGUUGAUAGGCCGGGUGUGUAAGCGCAGCGAUGCGUUGAGCUAACCGGUACUAAUGAACCGUGAGGCUUAACCUUACAACGCCGAAG
rnacentral:rRNA from 1 species